UUAUAGGCGUGAACCACAAUGCCUGGCCAAGAGCUAAUGAUUCUUGCAGAAAAACUUUUCUAAAAAGAUUUAACUCUAUUCAAAUUGGUUUAUCAUAAGUCUGAAUUUAAUUUUACAUGUAAAUAUAUACAACAGCAUUUUAUUUUAUUGUUUUCUCUAACAUUUCUCUAAAAAUAUUGUUUUAUCUAAUAUUUCCUAUAAUUUAUGGCAGUCAUACAAGAAACCAAAGAUGGCUUCAUAAUUUGUAUACAAUUCAGAACAACUGUUUAUGCAUUCUAUCACUAUAUAUCCCUUGGCAGAAAAAUUAGUCUUAAAAUUGUCUUCCUUGUUAAUAAUUGGUUCAUCCAAAGCUUCAUAUAAGAAUACUAUUUUUUUCUUUUGAAUGUGAUGACUUUGAACUGUUUCUGUUUCUGAGUCUGUGGAUAUUUGCUCUGCAAUGUUGCAGAAGUUUUUAAAACCAGAUAGUUUUAAUAACUCUCUGAUAUGCUUUAGUGCAAUGUCCAUGAGCACAGUUUAUUUUGUAAUAAUUUAUUGACAAAGUUUAUGGCCUGAGUACAGGGAGUUUCUGUCCUAGUACUCAGACCAGAGAGUUAAUUUUGGUACAGAUGCUAUAAGGACAGUCUUUGGGGGUAGAAGGGCGAGCCGUGAUCUUGGUGCUGCCGCCAUGCAGAGCACAUAGUCUCUCCCUGAGCCAUGGCAGCUGCUGCCACUGUUGAUGUUUGUGCCCAUUGCUCAGGAUUCCAGAAGACCCAAGCCUGCACACAGCGUGUUCACAUCUGUCAUGUCUGCUCUGAUCAUGUUUCAUUGUCUCAUCAGACUUCACCUACCAAACACAAGUUCAAAGGAAAGAAAACAUGAGGGCUACGUCUUCACUUUCAAUAUGAUAGGAUAAACACAGAAAUGGAACAGCAUUCAUUUUGUUUAAUAUUCCAUGAAGACUAUCAGAUACACCAUCUUUUCUUCUGAGUAAUAGCAGGCACUCUCGGGCUGUCAGAUGAUAUGCCAGGUAGAACCUUUCUGCUGAGAGGGAGGAUUUACAACUACGCUCAUCUGAUUCAGAACAUACAUGGGAUUCACUAGUAUGACACCUCAACAAAUGGUCACUUCACACAUGUCAAUAACACUCAUUUCACAACUAUUUAUUGAUGAUCUAUAAUUUGCAAGUUGUAGUCUGAGCACUAGGGUAUAGCAGCAGGCUCUUUUCAUGGAAGAUACAUGAAAUAAGUAAGUAAAUAGUAGAGGCAGCUAUUUUCAUUUGAACUGUGACAGAAAACCUUUCUGAACAGGAGGCUUUGAAUGAAUUUCUGAAAGGAGUCAGUCAAGCGAAGACAUGGGACAUGGCAUUCCAGGCAGGGGAACAGCCCACUUAAAGGCCCUGAGGCAGAAACA